UACGGAGGGGGCUAGCGUUAUUCGGAAUUACUGGGCGUAAAGCGCACGUAGGCGGAUUGGAAAGUCAGAGGUGAAAGCCCGGGGCUCAACCCCGGAACGGCCUUUGAAACUAGGUAGCUAGAAUCUUGGAGAGGUCAGUGGAAUUCCGAGUGUAGAGGUGAAAUUCGUAGAUAUUCGGAAGAACACCAGUGGCGAAGGCGACUGACUGGACAAGUAUUGACGCUGAGGUACGAAAGCGUGGGGAGCAAACAGG
rnacentral:rRNA from 1 species